CCCUUAGAUGUUCUGGGCUGCACGCGUGCUACACUGAUAUUGCCAAUAUGUCAUUCUUAUCCGAAAUGGAUUGGGUAAUCAAGUAAUGAAAUUUCAUGCUUGGAAUCGGUAAUUGCAAUUUUAUCGUGAACGAGGAAUUCCUAGUAAGCACUAGUCAUCAGCUAAUGUUGAUUAUGUCCCUGCCCUUUGUACACACCGCCCGUCGCUACUACCGAUUUCGAGUGGUCAGGUGAAUCUUUCGGACUGUGGGCGCCCUUGAGGUGUUCGCGGAAAGUCAGGUAAAUCUUAUCACUUAGAGGAAGUAAAAGUCGUAACA
rnacentral:rRNA from 1 species